rnacentral:rRNA from 1 species
AAUUUUGGACAAGGGGGGCAACCCUGAUCCAGCCAUCCCGCGUGUGCGAUGAAGGCCUUCUGGUUGUAACGCACUUUUGCCAGGGAAGCAAAGGCUCUGGUUAUUCCCUCGAGCUGCUGACGGUACCUGCAGAAUAAGCACAGUCUAACUACCUGCCAGCAGCCGCGGUAAUACGGAGGGUGCAAGCGUUAAUCGGAAUUACUGGGCGUAAAGCGUGCGCAGGCGGUUCGGCAAGAAGGAUGUGAAAUCCCAGGGCUUAACCUUGGAACUGCAUUCUUAACUGCCGGGCUAGAGCAUGUCAGAGGGGGGUAGAAUUCCGCGUGUAGCAGUGAAAUGCGUAGAGAUGCGGAGGAAUACCGAUGGCGAAGGCAGCCCCCUGGGAUAAUACUGACGCUCAUGCACGAAAGCGUGGGGAGCAAAC